rnacentral:rRNA from 1 species
CCUACGGGAGGCAGCAGUGAGGAAUAUUGGUCAAUGGGCGGGAGCCUGAACCAGCCAAGUCGCGUGAGGGAAGACGGUCCUAUGGAUUGUAAACCUCUUUAGGCGGGGAGCAAUGCCGGGCACGCGUGCCCGGCGGGAGAGUACCCGAAGAAAAAGCCUCGGCUAACUCCGUGCCAGCAGCCGCGGUAAUACGGAGGAUGCGAGCGUUAUCCGGAUUUAUUGGGUUUAAAGGGUGCGCAGGCGGAAGAUCAAGUCAGCGGUAAAAUUGAGAGGCUCAACCUCUUCGAGCCGUUGAAACUGGUUGUCUUGAGUGAGUGAGAAGUAGGCGGAAUGCGUGGUGUAGCGGUGAAAUGCAUAGAUAUCACGCAGAACUCCGAUUGCGAAGGCAGCAUACCGGCGCGCAACUGACGCUCAUGCACGAAAGUGUGGGUAUCGAACAGGAUUAGAUACCCUUGUAGUC